rfam:Salmo salar isolate Sally breed double haploid chromosome ssa20, whole genome shotgun sequence.
AGUAGUGUGGCCGAGUGGUCUAAGGCGCUGGAUUAAGGCUCCAGUCUCUUCGGGGACAUGGGGUCAAAUCCCACCACUGCUA